rnacentral:tRNA from 1 species
ACCUCAGUUGGUAGAGCAUGAGACUCUUAAUCUCAGGGUUGUGGGUUCAUGCCCCAC